AUGUGGCGAGCUCCCAUGGGGGGAAACAAAAAUAUCAACAAAACAGGACAACAUGCCAAAAAUAAGCUGCCGGCUUGGGCUCCAGUCUCCCAAGGGUGCUCUCGUCUCUCUUCUCCAUCCAGCUCUGUGGUCUCAAGGAUGCUUCUCUGGGUAACACUGCCAGGCUCGCCUCCCUGCCUGCUGAAACCAGCUUCCUGCUUCCUUUUCCUCAUGGAAGGCUCCCCGUGGGGUGCCACAGCCUUGGGUGUGGGGUGGGGUGGUGAGGAAAUACCGAACAUGACACAUGGUUGACCCUUUGCCGAGGAGAUGGGGUAUCCCUCCCUGAGUGAUGGGUAGCCAAUAAAGCUUUUUAAGAAACGGACUUGUGUUCCAGAUCACUCUGCCAGCCAAGUGAAAACUGGAUUGAUUGAUUGAUUUUUUUUUUUUUUUUUUGAGACAAAGUCUCACUUUGUCACCCAGACUGGAGUGCAGUGGCAUGAUCUCGGCUCACCGCAACCUCUACCUCCUGGGUUCAAGUGAUUCUCCUGCCUCAGCCUUCCAAGUAGCUGGGAUUACAGGCACACACCACCAUGCCUCAGCCUCCCAAGUAGCUGGGAUUAUAGGCACACACCACCACGCUCAGUUAAUUUUUGUAUUUUUAGUAGAGACAGGGUUUCAUCAUGUUGGUCAGGCUGGUCUCAAACUCCUGACCUCAUGAUUUACCAGUCUUGGCCUCCCAAACUGCUGGGAUUACAGGUGUGAGCCACUGUGCCCAGCAAAAACUGGAUUUAAAAGAGAAGCUAGCUCAGAGAGGAUGUCCUUGGCCUGCGAGGUGAUGGAAGCUUAACGGUCAGGCUAUGGAAGUGAAUAGGGAUCCAAGGAAGAAGCAGGUCUGGGAGAUGUGGGAAGGUGGGAUGUGGGAGGUUUGCAAACUGACUAGAGGUACAUGGAGAAGGACAAUUAGCCAAAGACGGCCCUGUGCUGAUAUUUUCCAAAAUUUGCUCCAUAGAUUUUAUCAGACUUUCCAUUUUUAAGAAAGAAUUUUGUGGUCAAACACAGGGAGGGGAGCAUCACACACUGGGGUCUGUCGGGGGUAAAUAGGGAAGGGACAGCAGGUGGUGGGGAACUGGGGAGAAAUAGCAUGGGGAGAAAUGCCAGAUACAGGUGAUGGGGAGGAAGGCAGCAAAUCACACUGCCAUGUGUCCCUAGGCAACAAUCUUGCAUGUUCUUCACAUGUACCCCGAACCUAAAAUGCAAUAAAAAAUAUGUAAUGGUAUUUUCAGAUUCAAGUUAAAAACACUUUUGACUGCAGGAUGUCUAAGUGCAUUGACAAAGCAACUUAUACAGUCAGUAUGUAAGCGGGGAGUCGGGGGGAUGCAGUCAGUAUGUAAAUGGGGAGUCGGGGGGAUACAGUCAGUAUGUAAGCGGGGAGUCGGGGGAUACAGUCAGUAUGUAAGCAGGGAGUCGGGGGGAUACAGUCAGUAUGUAAGCGGGGAGUCGGGGGGAUACAGUCAGUAUGUAAGCGGGGAGUCGGGGGGAUACAGUCAGUAUGUAAAUGGGGAGUCGGGGGGAUACAGUCAGUAUGUAAGUGGGGAGUUGGGGGUUACAGUCAGUAUGUAAGUGGGGAGUCGGGGGGAUACAGUCAGUAUGUAAAUGGGGAGUCGGGGGGAUACAGUCAGUAUGUAAAUGGGGAGUCAGGGGGAUACAGU
rnacentral:lncRNA from 1 species